CUUUUUGCCAUUUCUUGGGCCGCCCCCACGGCAUAUGGAGGUUCCCAGGCUAGUGGUCAAAUCGGAGCUGUAGCCACUGGCCUACGCCAGAGCCACAGCAACGCGGGAUCCGAGCCGCGUCUGAGACUUACAUCACAGCUCACGGCAACGCCGGAUCCUUAACCCACUGAGUGAGGCCAGGGAUCGAACCCACAACCUCGUGGUUCCUAGUCGGAUUCGUUAACCACUGCGCCACGACAGGAACUCGAGUAUCUCAACUACCAAAGAAAAAAUAUAGUGGGACUACUAUAAAAAGAGGAAAACCAAUAUUCAAAAAACAAACCUGUCAGCCAGAAUCAGAUUAAAGCAAGCACAUAGGAAGACAUGGUACAAGACCAAUACCUUUGAAGAGGUAAAAGUCACUUUUGCUGACUGGAAAGAAUUUGCACUUAUAUGACAUGAGAAUUGAUGUAAGUAUUUAAUGUCAUUCCAUCAGUUAAACUGUCUUUAACACAUUAUAUUGUACCUUAAUGUAUAUAAAUAAAAAUUUUGUAAACUAACUUAUAUGAAUAAGCACAUAUUCCCCAAAAAACUGCUUUGAAAAUAGAAGAGAUUUGCUAGCAAAAGGUGAUAUUAGAAGACAGGAAUGUUUUAAAAAACCUGUCUUCCAAACACAUAGCUCUGAAAGAUUGAAAAAAAAGAACAAGAAGAAGCAAAAUGAAAGGAAGAAAAAAGGCAGAAAAAAAAAAUGGAAACUUUAGUGUCUUACAAUAUAAAAGUAACUUUAGGUUUAAACAGACCAAAAAGUUAUCACUAAAGUGCUUAUAUUGUGCUAAACUGACAGAAAAGGGUGCUAUUAAACCAGGAAUCUUAUAAAACAUACCAGUGUCACAAAAUUAAUAAAGGGAAAAGAAAGUCCAUAGGAAUUAUUUUAGAAAACAAAACAAAAAAUACAAUCUCACACCUCAAAUCCUCCCCUUAUCCAAGAGAAACAACUGUGUAGGAGAAUGAAAUCAUUCAUGUAAGGAAUUGGAAAGUCACUUCAAAUUAUAUUUUAAAGACCUGAAAAGUAGAGUGAACAAAAAUAAGGAGAAAAUAAGAGUUGACUGAAUUCUAAGAAGUGAUAGAAGAAGAGAAAAUUACCUCACUUAUGAAGAAUAAAUUACAUGACAUUCAAGAGAGAAGUAACUCAAAUGAAAACUUUAAUAAAAGAAUUGAAGACACACAAGAAAACAUCUGGAUAAUCAAAUGUCUUUUUAGGGCCACAUUCCUGGCAUAUGAAAGUUCCCUAGAGGUGGAAUCAGAACUUCAGCUGCCGGCCUACACCACAGCCACAGCAACAUGAGAACUGAACUGUAUCUGCCACCUACACCACAGCUCACAGCAG
rnacentral:lncRNA from 1 species